rnacentral:rRNA from 1 species
UGCAUAUUGAUUAGCGGAGGAUCCUUGCCAGGGUGGACUGGCGGAUUACAAUUCGAUAAGCGUUUUAAUUUUUAAUCAGCGCCUGAAAAAACUUAAUAAUUACAACUUUCAACAACGGAUCUCUGGGUUCUGGCAUCGAUGAAGAACGCAGCGAAAUGCGAUAAGUAGUGUGAAUUGCAGAAUUCAGUGAAUCAUCGAAUCUUUGAACGCACAUUGCGCCCCUUGGUAUUCCAUGGGGCAUGCCUGUUCGAGCGUCAUUUGUACCUUCAAGCUUUGCUUGGUGUUGGGUGUUUGUCCUCUCCCUGGUGUUUGGACUCGCCUUAAAACAAUUGGCAGCCAGUGUUUUGGUAUUGAAGCGCAGCACAAGUCGCGAUUCUGACCUAGCAACACUUGCAUCCACAAGUCUUUUUAACUUUUGACCUCGGAUCAGGUAGGGAUACCCGCUGAACUUAAGCAUAU